rnacentral:rRNA from 1 species
GACGAACGCUGGCGGCGUGCUUAACACAUGCAAGUCGAACGGAAAGGCCUCUUUCGGGGGGUACUCGAGUGGCGAACGGGUGAGUAACACGUGAGUAACCUGCCCUUGACUUUGGGAUAACUUCAGGAAACUGGGGCUAAUACCGGAUAGGAGCUCCUGCUGCAUGGUGGGGGUUGGAAAGUUUCGGCGGUUGGGGAUGGACUCGCGGCUUAUCAGCUUGUUGGUGGGGUAGUGGCUUACCAAGGCUUUGACGGGUAGCCGGCCUGAGAGGGUGACCGGCCACAUUGGGACUGAGAUACGGCCCAGACUCCUACGGGAGGCAGCAGGGGGGAAUAUUGCACAAUGGGUGGAAGCCUGAUGCAGCAACGCCGUGGGCGGGGGGACGGCCUUCGGGUUGUAAACCGCUUUCGCUCAUGACGAAGCUUUGUGUGACGGUAGUGGGUAAAGAAGCACCGGCUAACUACGUG